UGGCUGAGUGGUUAAGUUCAUGUGCUCCGCUUCAGCAGCCCAGGAUUCCCCAGUUCAGAUCCUGGGCGUGGACCUGACACUGCUCAUCAAGCCUUGCUGAGGCAGCAUCCCACAUGGCAGAGCCAGAAGGACCUACAACUAGAAUAUGCAACUAUGUACUGGGGGGCUUUGGGGAGAGAGAAGAAGAAGAAGAAAAGAAGAUUGGCAACAGAUGCUAGCUCAGGUGCCAAUUUUUAAAAAAAGUGUUGCCUCAAAAAAAAUUAAAAAAAAAAAAGAAAGCAUGAAUUUGAGAAGCCCACAGGAGGGGAAGGCAUCAGGAUACAUCAGGAUGUAAUGAUCAGUUGGAUGAAGAGGGUGAGGAAGAGAGAAAAGUCAAGGCUCACAUUUUAUAACUGUGGUCACUGGGUAACGAGAAGGCGACACAACAAACAGAGAGAUUGAGGUUGGAGGGGAGUGCUACUUACUUUUGGAGAAGUCAAAUCUGAAAUAUCUGAAGAGUACCUGAGUGAAGGUGCCUGGCAGGAACUGGAGUCUCCAAAGAAUGAACAAGCCAGCCUUUGUGUUGUGUUUCCCGCUCUUCCCUCGAAGCGCUGGAAUGACUUUUGUGCUCCUGAGGUUGAAAGCAAGUUUCUGGGACACCAGGGUGCCACCUCCCUCCAAGGUUUUUCUUUGAAGUGGUUAUUUAGUUGAGAUCCCACAGAUGGUCAUUAAACAGCUAUGGGUGACUAUGUUCAUACCUGAGGAAGUGGAGACAGAACUGAUACUAAAGUUGAAGGAGGUGAAUGACAAGAGCCUGGGGGUGACUUUUCUGGAAUAAAAAAAGAGGCCAGUGGUAGCAAGUUGUGCAAGUGGCUGAAAGCCAGGCCCUUCCUUGAAGCAGUUCCUUGAAGGCAGCAGGAUCUCUGAAGAGGCGGCAUAUGGGUGUGAGGGGUCCUGAGCUCUCCAGUCAUGAGAACCUGGCCAUCCUGCCAGAGCUGGGCCCAGGGUGGAAUGAGGUGGAAUGGCAUGGGGAAUGGAGCCUCCAGCCUGAAAUGGAUUAUUCUGGCCCAGAUAAUAAACAGCUAAGCAGUGACUGUGAUAGACUGGAGAAGGAAGAUCUUUCCUCAAAUUUUCUGGACAAUUCUCCAGGGAUGUCUGACAGCCCCUGAAGAGAAGGGGUUCCAAUAAUGACUGCCAAUGAGUAUUGCCACUCUUGAGAGAGAAUCUUGAAAUUGAAUUUAAAAAUAAAAUAAAAUAAAAUA
rnacentral:lncRNA from 1 species